CUUGUAGGAAAAUGUUGAUUGAUGUAUUGCACUGCUUAAUUUCUCAAUUAACAUUACUUUUAGGUGCUUUCCUUUCUGAGUUUUACAUAACAUUAUUUUAAGAAAAAUAAUUAGUAAAUUAGGUGUAUGGGUUUAAGGGUGUAGUGAUAAUUGUUCCUAAUUUAUCUUCUUCACAAUCUCACAGAGCUAUGGUUGUGGUGGAGAAUGGGCUGUGGAACCUUUCAGACCAAAACUUCUCAGACGAGAAGGAGGCAUUC
rnacentral:lncRNA from 1 species